CCUACGGGUGGCAGCAGUGAGGAAUAUUGGUCAAUGGGCGCGAGCCUGAACCAGCCAAGUCGCGUGAGGGAAGACGGUCCUAUGGAUUGUAAACCUCUUUUGUCGGGGAGCAAAAGACGCCACGCGUGGCGUUCCGUGAGUACCCGAAGAAAAAGCAUCGGCUACCUCCGUGCCAGCAGCCGCGGUAAUACGGAGGAUGCGAGCGUUAUCCGGAUUUAUUGGGUUUAAAGGGUGCGCAGGCGGAAGAUGAAGUCAGCGGUAACAUUGAGAGGCUCAACCUCUUCGAGCCGUUGAAACUUGUUUUCGUGAGUGAGUGAGAAGUAUGCGGAAUGCGUGGGGUAGCGGUGAAAUGCAGAGAUAUCACGAAGAACUCCGAUUGCGAAGGCAGCAUACCGGCGCUCAACUGACGCUCAUGCACGAAAGUGUGGGUAUCGAACAGGAUUAGAUACCCGGGUAGUC
rnacentral:rRNA from 1 species